GGGAGACAGAGGCGCUGACCCCGGGACAGAGCCUGGCUUUGUGCGGGAGGCAGACGCGCCCCGCGCGCCGCCCCCGAAACAUUCGCACCCCAUGCUGAGGCGCGCGUCUGGGAGUCCGUGGGCGCCCCGAGCGACGUCGAUGGCGCCAGGUGCCAAGCUCUUUCCUUGUAUAAUUUCAUGGACACUCACGCAUCAACUCUAAGCGAAGACUUGGAGCGGGGCUCAGCACCCCAGGGGUACCUCUGCAACCUCGAAAUGAAGUUGAAAAUAGCACAGGAGCCCACUAUCACUGUGUGAACAUUUUGUGAAUGAAGACAUGUAUGAAAGGAUGUUUGGAGGCUUCAAGAAACGAAAGCCGAGAGUCUAGCUAGACCAGAGCCAUCCAGCCCAGGAGCGAUGGCCACGUGUGGCCGCUGGACACGAGAGACGUGGCCAGUCCAAACUGUGCAGUGCGGUAAGGGCAGAACACAUGCCAGCUUUCGAAGGCUUAGUAAAGAAUGCAAAAUUUCUCAAUUGGGAAUUUUUGUAUGAAUUUCAGGUUGAAAAAAACAUUUUGGAUAUAUGGUGUUAAAUAAACAUGAUUACAAUGAC
ensembl:lncRNA PDGFA-DT PDGFA divergent transcript